AUGGCAGAGGAGAUUGCUGCUCUUGAAUGCACUGGUACUUGGGAUCUUGUUUCUCUUCCUCCCGGAGUCCGUCCGAUCACUUGUAAGUGGGUCUACAAGGUUAAGACUCGCUCCGAUGGUUCUCUUGAGCGUCACAAAGCUCGUCUUGUGGCUCGUGGUUUUCAGCAGGAGCAUGGUCGUGAUUAUGACGAGACUUUUGCUCCUGUGGCUCAUAUGACCACUGUUCGUACCCUUCUUGCCGUUGCCUCUGCACGCCACUGGUCUAUAUCUCAGCUUGAUGUUAAGAAUGCCUUUCUUAAUGGUGAGCUGCGUGAGGAGGUGUACAUGCAGCCACCACCUGGGUAUUCUGUUCCUGAUGGCAUGGUAUGUCGUCUUCGUCGCUCUCUCUAUGGCCUUAAGCAAGCCCCCCGCGCCUGGUUUGAGCGCUUUGCCUCUGUGAUCACUGCUGUUGGUUUUUUAGCAAGUGCUCAUGAUCCCGCAUUGUUUAUUCACCUUUCUCCUCGUGGUCGGACCCUUCUUCUUCUUUAUGUUGAUGACAUGAUCAUCACGGGAGAUGAUCCCGAGUAUAUUGCCUUUGUAAAGGCCCGUCUUAGUGAGCAGUUUCUUAUGUCUGAUCUUGGACCUCUUCGCUACUUUCUUGGGAUUGAAGUCUCUUCUACCUCUGAUGGCUUUUUUAUAUCCCAGGAAAAGUAUAUCCAGGAUCUUCUUGCUCGUGCUGCUCUUACUGACGAGCGCGUUGUUGAGACUCCUAUGGAGCUCAAUGUUCACCUCCGUGCUACUGAUGGUGAUCCUCUCCCUGAUCCGACGCGUUAUCGUCAUCUUGUUGGCAGUCUUGUCUAUCUAGCUGUCACUCGUCCGGACAUAUCUUAUCCGGUUCAUAUUCUGAGUCAGUUUGUCUCUGCCCCCACCUCGGUUCACUAUAGUCAUCUCCUUCGUGUUCUUCGAUAUCUUCGAGGCACGAUCUCUCACCGUCUAUUCUUUCCUCGCUCCAGUUCUUUACAGCUCCAGGCCUAUUCGGAUGCUACGUGGGCUAGUGAUCCUUCCGAUCGCCGUUCACUUUCUGCUUACUGUGUUUUUCUUGGUGGUUCUCUCAUUGCCUGGAAGACGAAGAAACAGCUUGCAGUUUCCCGUUCGAGUGCCGAGGCUGAGUUGCGAGCAAUGGCUCUUUUGACGGCAGAGGUGACUUGGUUACAGUGGUUACUUCAGGAUUUUGGUGUUUCUGUCACUACACCGACUCUGCUUCUAUCUGACAGUACAGGUGCUAUCAGCAUUGCACGCGAUCCUGUGAAGCAUGAGCUCACCAAGCAUAUUGGUGUUGAUGCUUUCUAUGUGCGUGCUGCUGUGCAGGAUCAGGUUAUUGCUCUUCAGUAUGUGCCUUCCGAGUUACAGUUGGCGGAUUUCCUGACAAAGGCUCAGACUAGAGCACAACAUGGCUUUUAUCUCUUCAAACUCAGUGUUGUUCAUCCACCAUGA
rnacentral:rRNA from 1 species